rnacentral:lncRNA from 1 species
UGAUUUUCAAUCAGCUUUCCACAAGUGACUUCUUCAUAAUGUAAUUGAAAUCAAAUUGAAGAUCUUACUGGUAAAAGUGAUGUGAUUUUAUUCAACAAAAGGACUAAGACAAAGUGGUGCCCAACUGUAGCCCAGGAGUGUUAAUGUAAUCUUAAAAUCUUGUCUAUUCUAGCUUGCUAACAUAGCCAGUUUCCUAAGCGUGAACUAGAUAGCUAGUCUUAUUGUUUAUACUAUAAUGUUCAUAUUUUGCUUCAAAACCCAAUAUAUUAUUUUGCAGUAAUGUGUAAAAUUGCUAAAUAACUGAUCUUAUGGAAAUGCUUUUGGUGACAGUUUCUCCACAUCUAAAAGCAAAAUGUUUCUAGCAACAGAUUUGUGAUUUUUUUCUAAUCUCAAGAGGCUUCCCCGACCCCAUAUUAGUACUUAACUUUGUGACUAUUUAUUGAUAGGGUUCCAGAAUGUAAGCAAAUGCCCUCUAGUUUCAGCACAACUGAAUGUAGGUAAAUGGAUUUUUUUUCCGUUGCAAUAUUGUAUAUUUUCACUUAAGCUAUGGUAUAGUGUCACUUCUCUCCUGCAUGGAUUAGUGCUGUUAAAUAAUGAAAGAUGAGAACCAAUUCAAAAAUAAUUACAUACGUUUCUUAUUAAUGAAAGGCUAUUUAAAACGAAAUUUUGUACCAGAGAUGGCCAAGUUUUAAAAAAGAAGCAACUAUUUUUGCAUUCUCAUGAAAUCUUUCAGAUCAUCAGCUUUUGAAAUGUGAAUUCCUAUUGCCAGAGUAAAAGCUCAUUUUUCC